rnacentral:rRNA from 1 species
AUACAUGCAAGUCGAGCGGUCCUUCGGGACAGCGGCGAACGGGUUAGUAACGCGUGGGAACGUGCCCUUUAGUACGGAAUAGCCAUUGGAAACGAUGAUUAAUACCGUAUACGCCCCAAGGGGGAAAGAUUUAUCGCUAAAGGAUCGGCCCGCGUUAGAUUAGGUAGUUGGUAGGGUAAUGGCCUACCAAGCCGACGAUCUAUAGCUGGUUUGAGAGGAUGAUCAGCAACACUGGGACUGAGACACGGCCCAGACUUCUACGGAAGGCAGCAGUAGGGAAUCUUGGACAAUGGGCGAAAGCCUGAUCCAGCCAUGCCGCGUGAGUGAUGAAGGCCCUAGGGUUGUAAAGCUCUUUCGCCAGGGAAGAUAAUGACGGUACC